AGAGAAUCAAGCUGUAAAAAAGUGGAAUGUGCUUAGAGGCAACCUAUAAAAUACUCAGAGGCAUUUUCUGAUUAGUCUUCUUGUUUUUAAUAGUGCUUACAGCUUGUUUGCUUGCUUUUCUUUCUUUCUUGCACCUGAAAGUGAGAUGGCAAGGAGAGUUCAUUUAGUGGUUCUUCUUUGGAAUGAAACAAACUUGUUUCCAGUAAAAGAACUCUGGUGGGUUUAUUGAGAGGUAGUGGUUUUUCUCCAGAAUCAAGAUCCCCGAAAACAUUAAAAACAUUAAAUACAAUUAUAUUACUGAUAAUGCCAUAUGCACUUUAGAUUUGGGACAGGGACCCAAGUGCAGUUGUAAGGUAUUUUUCAGCACAAGGACCCUGGCUGAGGGGCAAAUGAAGGCUGAAUCCACUGGAAUGUAUGCAGCCUGCUGAGGUGGGUCCUGGAGGAAAGGGGGAGAGUGGAGGAAAGGA